CCUGGCUCAGGAUGAACGCUGGCGGCGUGCCUAACACAUGCAAGUCGAGCGAUCACUCGGUGAAGAGCGGCGGACGGGUGAGUAACGCGUGGGUAACCUGCCUCAUACACAUGGAUAACAUACCGAAAGGUAUGCUAAUACAGGAUAAUAUAAGAGAUUCACAUGUAUUUCUUAUCAAAGCUCCGGCGGUAUGAGAUGGACCCGCGUCUGAUUAGCUAGUUGGUAAGGUAACGGCUUACCAAGGCGACGAUCAGUAGCCGACCUGAGAGGGCGAUCGGCCACAUUGGAACUGAGACACGGUCCAAACUCCUACGGGAGGCAGCAGUGGGGAAUAUUGCACAAUGGGCGAAAGCCUGAUUGCAGCAACGCCGCGUGAGUGAUGAAGGCCUUCGGGUCGUAAAACUCUGUCCUCAAGGAAGAUAAUGACGGUACUUGAGGAGGAAGCCCCGGCUAACUACGUGCCAGCCGCCGC
rnacentral:rRNA from 1 species